ACGGAGGCAGAGGAAUCGGAGAAGGCCGCAACAGAGCAAAGGCGCUGGAAGGGACAGACCAGACACUAGAUGUGGAGGAGGAGCAGGAGGAAUCCAAAGCAGCAGCCUGUGGCAGCAAGAAGCGGGUAGUGCCAGGUAUUGUGUACCUGGGCCAUAUCCCACCACACUUCCAGCCCCUACAUGUCCGCAACCUUCUCAGUGCCUAUGGUGAGGUCAGAUGCGUUCUUUCAGGCUGAGGACUGGUUUGUGAGAUGCAAAAAGAAGGCAGCAGCAGCCGUGGGAGGGAAAAAAGCAGUACCACAGCAAGGACUACACAGAGGGAUGGGUGGAGUUCCGUGACAAGCGCAUAGCCAAGAGUGUGGCGGCCAGUCUACACAACACGCCUAUGGGUACCCACAGGUGCAGCCCCUCCCAUUAUGACCUAUGGAAUCUCAAGUACUUGCACCAUUUCACCUGGUCCCACCACAGCGAGCACCUUGCCUUUGAGCGCCAGGUGUGCACACAGGCAGCACCUGAGAGUGGAGGUCACUCAGGCCAAGUGUGAGACCAUCUUCUAUCUUCAAAGUGUGGAAUGGGGACAAUGCUUUCUUGCUGUUGAUGGGGAUCUUGCUCACCCAGAUGGCUCCUGGACAUUUGCCCAACGUCCUACUGAGCAGGAACUGAGGGCCCGGAAAGCAGCACAGCCAGUAGGGUGUGAAUGGGCUCACCUGGCAACUGCCUAGGACAAGGCCCACUCCAACAAAGCACUCCUGGCCAGGAUCUUUGGAGCCCCGCCACCCUCAGAGAGCAUGGAGGGAUCUUCCCUGGUCAGGGACUCCUGA
rnacentral:lncRNA from 1 species